GAUGAACGCUGGCGGCGUGCCUAAUACAUGCAAGUCGAGCGAACAGACGAGGAGCUUGCUCCUCUGACGUUAGCGGCGGACGGGUGAGUAACGCGUGGAUACCCUACCUAUAAGACUGGGAUAACUUCGGGAAACCGGAGCUAAUAACGGCUAAUAUAUUGAACCGCAUGGUUCAAUAGUGAAAGACGGUUUUGCUGUCACUUAUAGAUGGAUCCGCGCCGCAUUAGCUAGUUGGUAAGGUAACGGCUUACCAAGGCAACGAUGCGUAGCCGACCUGAGAGGGUGAUCGGCCACACUAGAACUGAGACGCGGUCCAGACUCCUACGGGAGGCAGCAGUAGGGAAUCGUCCGCAAUGGGCGAAAGCUUGACGGAGCAACGCCGCGUGAGUGAUGAAGGUCUUCGGAUCGUAAAACUCUGUUAUUAGGGAAGAACAAAUGUGUAAGUAACUAUGCACGUCUUGACGGUACCUAAUCAGAAAGCCACGGCUAACUACGUG
rnacentral:rRNA from 1 species